rnacentral:rRNA from 1 species
AUUGAACGCUGGCGGCAGGCCUAACACAUGCAAGUCGAGCGGAUGAAGGGAGCUUGCUCCUGGAUUCAGCGGCGGACGGGUGAGUAAUGCCUAGGAAUCUGCCUGGUAGUGGGGGAUAACGUCCGGAAACGGGCGCUAAUACCGCAUACGUCCUGAGGGAGAAAGUGGGGGAUCUUCGGACCUCACGCUAUCAGAUGAGCCUAGGUCGGAUUAGCUAGUUGGUGGGGUAAAGGCCUACCAAGGCGACGUUCCGUAACUGGUCUGAGAGGAUGAUCAGUCACACUGGAACUGAGACACGGUCCAGACUCCUACGGGAGGCAGCAGUGGGGAAUAUUGGACAAUGGGCGAAAGCCUGAUCCAGCCAUGCCGCGUGUGUGAAGAAGGUCUUCGGGUUGUAAAGCACUUUAAGUUGGGAGGAAGGGCAGUAAGUUAAUACCUUGCUGUUUUGACGUUACCAACAGAAUAAGCACCGGCUAACUUCGUG